rnacentral:rRNA from 1 species
AUACGGAGGGUGCGAGCGUUAAUCGGAAUUACUGGGCGUAAAGCGUGCGUAGGCGGUUUGCUAAGUCAGAUGUGAAAGCCCCGGGCUUAACCUGGGAACUGCAUUUGAUACUGGCAGACUAGAGUAUGAUAGAGGGGGGUAGAAUUCCUGGUGUAGCGGUGAAAUGCGUAGAUAUCAGGAGGAAUACCAGUGGCGAAGGCGGCCCCCUGGAUCAAUACUGACGCUGAGGUACGAAAGCGUGGGGAGCGAACAGGAUUAGAAACCCGGGUAGUCC